UUUUUUUUUUUUUUUUUGACUUUUUGACUUUUUGCCAUUUCUUGGGCUGCUCCCUCAGCCUAUGGAGGUUCCCAGGCUAGGGGUCGAAUCGGAGCUGUAGCCACCAGCCUACACCACAGCCACAGCAAGAGCCGUGUCUGGGACCUACACCACAGCUCACAGCAACGCUGGACCAUUAACCCACUGAGCAAGGCCAGGGAUCGAACCCGCAACCUCAUGGUUCCUAGUCAGAUUCGUUAACCACUGGGCCAGGAUGGGAACUCCAGGUUAGCAUUCAUUUUUCACAGCCCACCAUGAAAGUGCAUUCUCACAACUUGGUAGCAGAGCUGUGACGGAAGGAGAGAACAUGCAUAUGUAGAACUUGGCCUUGAAAGGUUCCAGGAAGGUACAUGUUUUCAGUGAACAUUAAAGUUUAUUCGGCUAAGUCAAGAAAAUGGACAUGAGCCUGGAUCCAGCAGGAAGGAUCGGGUUUCAUGCUGCAGAAACACCUAUGCUGGUGCCAAGACAGGCGAGGCCCGAAAAGAAAAAAACGACAGAAUGUACAGCAGAAAUUGUCACAACGCUGUAAAUCAAGCAUCCUUCAAUAAACAAUUUUCAAAAAGGAAAAGAAAAAUGCAAAGCCCCAGAAAAGAAAGACCCGAUGUUAAAAGACUUGACUGAAUGCCUAGUGAUACUGAAAGUACAUUCUUCAAGCAACUGCUCGGGCUUCAAACGAAAGACAAGACCAGCACCAGCUGUUCUGAGAUGCUUUAAGAAUUUUGCAUCACCCCUGAGGGCCUUAAGAGGCUUCCAUAUAGAGCAAGAGAGAGAUAAGAAUGAUUGCUUUCAUUUUACAGGUGAUCAAGCAAGCUGAGAGAUGUUAAUCAACUGCUCCCAAACAAAGAAACCAGAGCUACAAUCAGGAAUAAAAUCUUGUUCUCCUUCCGGAGCAGUGAGCUCUGCCCCUCCUAUUCUCAAAUCAAAGCCAUUCUCUCUGUGUGAUAACUAAGAGGAUUAGGCUGCCAGGGUGGAAGAGAAUCCACUUUGAGGGGAGGGGACACUGGCAUCAGAGGGUGAGGACUGUGGCAGAUCUAUUUUUUUUCUCCCCCCCCCCUUUUUUUAAGCUACCCUGCAACAUAUGGAGCUCCUGGGCCAGGAAUCAGAUCCGAGCCCCAGUCCUAACCUAAGCCACAGAUGCAGCAACGCCGGCUCCUUAGCCCACUGUGCCGGGCUAGGGAUCAAACCAUCCUGGGGCUCCCAAGAUGCCGCGAUCCCCUUGCACCACAGUGGGAGCUCCUGUGGCAGAUCUAUUUUACAUGCUGCUUGCAGGAGAAGGAUCUUAGAUGUGAUUGCAGAAGCCAGAUUUCUUCCUUUCCUGUUGCCUAAAAUGCCACGAAUAGGUAAGAAAACUGCUAUACAACUGGAUCAGGAUUUAAAGAAGGAUAUCCCAUUAUAUUGUGGUCGACAUGAUGGCAGAUCUUUUAUCGAGAAAAAGAAUGGAAAAUUCCAGUUCUCCUAUCCUAGGGGAGAUGGAGAGACAGGCCCUAAAUGCCCACUGGAAGGGAGAGUCACAUAGGAAGCUAUGCUAUGAGGUGCUGGGUCCCUUUAGAGCUGUGACAGCUCUGAUUUUUUUUUUUUUUUAAUUCUUUUUAGGGCUGCACCUGAGGUAUAUGGAAGGCUAGGGGCUGAAAUGGAGCUGCCACUGGGACCUAUGCCACAGCCAUGGCAACGCCAAAUCUGAAAUGCAUCACAGCUCACAGCAACACCAGAUGCUUAACCCACUGAGUGAGGCCAGGGAUGGAACCAGCAUUGUCACGGACACUAUGUUGGGUUCUUAACCUGCCGAGCCACAACGGGAACUCUGAAAGGAAAUAUUUUGAUAGGUGAGACUGAGUAGGGGAAAACUAAUAGUUUAUUCUCUAAAGAGGUACUUUUGACCACCUAAUAAAUAAAAUUAAUGCUGGAAUCUAAACACAGGAAAUCUAAUAAAAUAAUUUAUAGCGUUACAAAGAAUAUACAAAUUUCAGAUAAAUUUCAGUAGAAUAAUCUACUAAACAGAAAUUAAAGUGAUGCUGGGUAAUUAUCUACAUUUUCAGGCAAUUAUUAACACCUAACAUGGGAUGUCUUAUGACAAAAUUAGCAUAUUAAUAAUAUUAUGUUGGCAUCAUCAACUGGUAUAAUCAUUUUGAAAAGAAUGAUGGAAAGACAUAGACAGAGACAUAAGAACAUUCAAACCCACUCACUGCCCAAAUAAUUCCAAGUCUGAGAAUUUAUCUCAAAUAAAUUACUUAACAGAGCAUAAAACCAUAUGCUCAAAGUUGUUAUGACAGAUUUAUUUAUCCAUUAAAAACAAAAUUAUGGAAUUAAUUAAAAGUCUAACAAUAAAUGACCAGUCUAUUUGGAAAAACUAUGGUAACUCCACACCAUGCUAUAUCAUUCUGUGACGAAAAAGUGAUUUCAAAAUAUCGAAAAAGGCAGACUCUUGAAUAAUCUGUGCACUACAGUUACCACUCUAAAAAUACAUAUGCUUGUAGAAAAGGAAUGGGAUAUAAUUUGCCAGAAUAAAAAUAUUUGACUAAAAGCAGCGAAAUUCUGGAAUGUUCCUACACACAUUUCCUUCGAUAUUUCUUCUAUUUUUUAACCCUGAUAACUUUUU
rnacentral:lncRNA from 1 species